rnacentral:lncRNA from 1 species
CAAAUUCCAAGUAACUAAAGAAGUUGGAAACUGUUUGCUUCCCUAAUCAGUAGUAUAUAUUAUUCUUCUCAUCUUCAGAUGAAAAUUCUGACAGAUUGGCGAAAACGACAUGUGCUUGGCUAAUCAACUAUUCUUAGACUCCUGAGUAAGUUACUCUAACCUCAAAUUAGUACUUAUCGUUUAGUGUUAAUUUAAUAUUAUUGGUGUACUGCCAUACAAAAAUAUAAAAUCGUUGAACCAUUUACGAAAUAAAAGGUUAAACAACCCACAUUUUUGUGUGUGUUUGAUCUGUCAGAUAACUUUAACAGAAAUAGGUGAUGUUGGCUUUUUAAACUUUUCUUUCCUCGACAAAGAAUGUUAUAUUUGUUCGUUGAGAAACUAAAACUGCAAAUGUAAACGGAAGUGUAUUUGCUUAGAAUAAAAUUACAGUAUUUUUUAAGAACUGAAAAACUUGUUACUUUCAGUUUUGGAUAAGAACUAAAGAGUUUUCUUUUUCUAUUUCUAAAGAAUUGAACUUGAGAAUUAAACCCAGAGGGAUAAUAAUGGUGGAUUACUAUUUUAGUAGAGAUAUGUUAGUGGGAGUGCAUUUGUUUGUGAUACAUGCUUAUUCCUUAUCUUUGAUAUGAAAUUGUUUGUUUUGUGGUCACUUUUUUACGUUUUACAAGUUAACCGGAUAACCCUCGACCAUAAUAUAUUUGGUAGUUUAUCUAUAUCUUACUGAAAAUAUUUUUCAAGUUACAACAUUAUGUAAUUAUUCUCUAACUGAAAUUCAUUUUCAUAAGUUUGGUGAUAGUAAUUCCAAAAUUUUAUGUAAAUUGAACAUUAAUAUUAAUAUAACUUUUGGUGUAUGAUCUAUUAUGAAAUUUUUAUUUCCAAUGAGCCUAAGUCCCCGACCCUAAAUAUUCUCGUGCAUUAGGUUUUAUAACUUUACUAGCAUUAUUUUGCAUUGCUUCAAUGCGGCCAGAUAACUUUUUUUUUUUUUACUCUGAUUAAAUGUCUGUCGCGAAUAUAGUUAUUUUUUCUAGAUCAAUCUCAUUCUCUAAACCUAAGUGUCAUUGGUGAUUCGAUAAUAAAGUGUACUAUCGCAUUAUACUCUACAUGCUUAACAUGAUAAUUUAAAGUUGUUUAGACCAUUAAUCAUAAGCUUCUUCGAUAGUAAAGUGUACCAUCGCGCUCACUGGGGGUGUGCAGACUCCUGGAGGGGCCCUUUAUGGCCCAAGCGCAAUAUCAAGCCAUCUCGUGACAUCAUCACUAGGCUCUCGGUCUUAUAUAAACAAGUCACCUCGUGGCGUAUAAAUCUCAGGCCCUCGGCCUCAUAAUCAUAAUCAGAUGUUUUCUCACAACAUAGGCCUUCAACCUUACUCAGUCAGAAUUCUCACAAGUCACUCGGGCAACAAUAAAACAUGAUGCUCAACUCAAAAUAUCAUUUAAAACAUCAUUUUAAGUGUUAAAGCAGAGUAAACAUGGUUGAGUUAUGAAAACAGUAGAAUACAGCAUGACUAAGUACAAGUAUAAAGUCAAAACAGUGAGAAAAUAUCAGUAAAAAUUCCCUAAGUGUCCAAAUAGUUGGCACGAGACCCAAAUAUGGCAUUCAGCCCAAAACAUGAUGAUAGCAAAUAGUUUUAAAUCAAAUACGCUAUAAAACAGUCAUUCGGGAUGGGCUAAGUCACGAUCCCCAACUGUGCACGACCCCACGCUCGUUAUCUAGCGUGUGUGUCACCUCAAUAUAGCACCACGAUGUGCAAUCCGAGGUUUCAUACUCUCAGGACAAUAUUUAUAAUUAUUACUCACCUCAAACCGGUCCAAACUCAAGCCCGCAACGCCUUUGCCCCUCGAAUCGGCCUCCACUCGCGUCAAAUCUAUCCAAAAUCACAAUCACAACGUCAAAAUAUGCUAAGGGAAUGAAGCCUAUGCGAAAAUAAUCAAUUUACAACAUAAAUCCCGAAAUUACCAAAACUCAACCCCCAGGCCCACGCUCGGAAUUCGAUAAAAUUCACGUCAGUAGAUUCCUUAUCUCCCCACGAGUUGAUACAUAUCAAGAGUCCCAAAAUCCGACCACAAAUGGUCCUUCAAAUCCUCAAGUCUAGGUCUCCAAUACCAAGCCCUAGUUUCCCCAAAUUUUUAACCCUUAAAUUCCAUUAAUUACAGCUCUAAUCCGUGAAAUAAUACCAUAGGAACGAGUUUUAGGUCCAAAAUCCUUACCUCAAUAAAAUACCCUUGAAAUCCUUCUUCAAAUCGCCCUAAAAGCUCCAAAAGCCGACUUAGAAAUGGUGGAAUAGCUCAAAAAUCACGAAGGAAAUAAUUUAUACCUUCUGGCCCAGGCAUUUUGCAUCCGCGGCCCCUUCUACCGAUUCUGCGGUACCGCUUUUGCGGUCAAUAGACCGCUUCUGCGGUCAUCACUUAAAUCCUCCACUUUCGCAUCUGCUAUGCCCAAUUCGCACCUGCGCCAUCGCAUGUGCGGUUCUUCAACCGCUUCUACGGUUUCUGCCUUCCAAGGCCCUUUCCGCUUCUGCGAUUGAAAUCUCGCUUCUGUCAGACCGCACCUAUGGUCCCCAAGCCGCAAGUGCGGUUAUGACAGCAAUGGAAAACUUCAGCUAUCCCAGCCAACUCCAAAUCUUUCUGCCGACCAUCCGAAAUCACCUCGAGGCCCCCGGGACCUCAACCAAAAGCACAAACACAUAAUAUACCACCAUCCAAACUUACACCAAUCUUCAAAACACCCCAAACAACAUCGAAUCAACCAAAACACAUCAGAUUCAAGCCUAAGUUUCCAAAAUCUUCCGAAUUACGCUUUUGAUCAAAAAGUAUACCAAACUAUGUCCGAAUGACCUGAAAUUUUGCACACACAUCCCAAAUGACCCAACGGAACUACUACAACUCCCAGGAUUCCGUUCUGACUCCUAUAUCAAAAUCUCACCUAUCAACCGGAAAACGCAAAAAAUCCAAUUUCGCCAAUUCAAGCCUAAAUCUACUCCGGACCUCCAAAACACACUUCGUUCACGCUCCUAAGUCCCAAAUCACCUCCUGAAGCUAUCUGAACCAUCCGAACUCACAUCCGAGCCCUCUAACACAUAAGUCAAUAUCCAGUUGACUUUUCCAACUUAAGCUUCCUUAAAAGAGACUAAGUGUCUCAAACCUCACCAAAACCUUUCCGAACCCGAGCCAACCAACCCGAUCACAUAUAGAACAAAACAAAGAAAUAAGAAGCAGAAAUGGGGUAAACGGAGCGGUAACUCAUGAGACGACUGGCUGGGUCAUCACAAUUAUCAUGUUUUGGGCUGAAUGCUAUAUUUGGGCCAUGUGCCAACUGUUUUGGACCCUUAGGGGUUUUUAAUACUAUUUCACAUUGUUUUGACUUCAUAAUUGUACUCAGUCAUGUUGUAUUCUACUAUUUUCAUAACUCAACCAUUUUUACUCUAUUUUGAUAUUUUAAAUGAUAUUUUGGGUUGAGCAUCAUGUUUUACUGUUGCCCGAGGGGCUUGAGAGAUAUCUGACUGAGUGAGGUCGAGGGCCUGUAUUGUGAGGAUAUCAUGGGAUCGGACUAUGCGCCGCAGCAUGUGUGCGGAUUGUGAUCUAUGAGAGGUCGAGGGCCUGAUUUGUUAUGUCACGAGAUGACUUGUGAUAGCGCUUGGGCUGUAGGAGCCCCUCCGGAAUCUGAACACCCCUAGUGAGCGCGGGUACCUAGUGUGAGAGAUGUGAUAUUGCCUGAGGGGAAGUAGUUGUUUCAUGUUGUUGCCCGAUGGGCUGAUUAUAAGUGAUUGUGGGGUAGCCCGAGGGGCUAGACUGUUGACACUUUUCUCGAGGGGCGGUUGUGGUGCAUGUUUUGCCCGAGGGGUUGUUUAUGUUUUCAUCACUUUUACUCACUAUUUUCAUCACUCGUUUGAAAUUAUUGAAUGAUAUUUUAAAAAGGUUUUACUGAACUGAGUUGUUUUUACGAGUUUUAUUGUUUUACUUUAUUGUUUUGGACAUAUACUGUUUUGCUGUAGUGCUAUGACGUAAAAUUACAUGUUUUCUUACUGCUCAACUGCUUUUACUUUGAUUACUUACUGAGUUGGCGUACUCACAUUACUCCCUGCACCUUGUGUGUAGAUCCAGGAGUCUCGGGGCGCGAUAGUGAGUGUUGAUCAGUCUUCCAGCAGGUCUCCGGAGUUUACUAGGUAGCUGCUUGGAGUUCACAGCCCAGUGAUUCUCCUUCCUAUCUUAUUCAGAUUGUUGUACUGUUUUAGUUUCGGAAAAUGUUGUCUUUUCUUGUUCUUAGAUGAGUUGUAGUUGCUCAUGACUGGUGACACCCCGAUGUUAGGCUUGUGUUAUAUUUUCGCACUGCUUAUUCUAAUUUAUGUUAUGGGAUUUUAGCAAAUUAAUGGCUU